UACGGGGGGGGGCAAGCGUUGUUCGGAAUUACUGGGCGUAAAGGGCUCGUAGGCGGCCAACUAAGUCCGACGUGAAAUCCCCAGGCUUAACCUGGGAACUGCGUCGGAUACUGGAUGGCUUGAAUCCGGGAGAGGGAUGCGGAAUUCCAGGUGUAGCGGUGAAAUGCGUAGAUAUCUGGAGGAACACCGGUGGCGAAGGCGGCAUCCUGGACCGGCAUUGACGCUGAGGAGCGAAAGCUAGGGGAGCAAACGGG
rnacentral:rRNA from 1 species